CCUACGGGAGGCAGCAGUGGGGAAUAUUGGACAAUGGGGGGAACCCUGAUCCAGCCAUGCCGCGUGUGUGAAGAAGGCCCUCGGGUUGUAAAGCACUUUCAGUGGGGAAGAACGCCUCGUUGUCAAUACCCAUCAGGAAAGACAUCACUCACAGAAGAAGCACCGGCUAACGCCGUGCCAGCAGCCGCGGUAAUACGGAGGGGGCGAGCGUUAAUCGGAAUUACUGGGCGUAAAGCGUGCGUAGGUGGCUUGAUAAGCCGGUUGUGAAAGCCCCGGGCUCAACCUGGGAACGGCAUCCGGAACUGUCAAGCUUGAGUGUAGGAGAGGAAGGUAGAAUUCCCGGUGUAGCGGUGAAAUGCGUAGAGAUCGGGAGGAAUACCAGUGGCGAAGGCGGCCUUCUGGACUGACACUGACGCUGAGGUGCGAAAGCGUGGGUAGCAAACAGGAUUAGAUACCCCUGUAGUC
rnacentral:rRNA from 1 species